rnacentral:tRNA from 1 species
GGGCCCAUAGCUCAGCUGGUAGAGCGCCUCAUUUGCAAUGAGGAGGUCAUCGGUUCGAAUCCGAUUGGGUCCACAA